rnacentral:RNase_P_RNA from 1 species
ACUACAAACCGUGCUAUCGUUCCUUUGGCUUGUCUGAAGGGAAGGAAAGUCCGGACAGCGUAGAGCAACACACCACCUAACGGGUGGGCUCCGGCUUGCCGGAGACAGAGAGUGCCACAGAAAAUUACCGCCCUGUUUCGGCGGGGUAAGGGUGAAAAUGUGGGGUAAGAGCCCACGGUGCAGGCAGGUAACUGUUUGUGCGGGUAAACCUUGUGUGCUGAAAUGCCAUGUAUACGGACGCCUGAGGGCUGCUCGUCCGAUGUCCGAGGGUAGGCAGAUACAGGGGGCGCGCGAGCGUCACCGCAGAUAAAUGAUAGCAACCCUGGCUUGCCAGGGGACAGAAUCCGGCUUACAGGUUUGUAGUUUUU